ACACCUAUGGACCUAUCACCGUUGACGGUGUUGAGUUACGGAUGAACAACAGGGUGUAAACUGAUUCUUCAGACACGCCCUGUUGCUGCUUGGCUCGCGUCGGAGGAAACUACAAAUUUUAGUAAACAACUUUUCCAAGUUUGAAGUCUUACACUUCUUGACUUUUUGGUGUUUUCUACUUUUACUUAAGACGGGGUUUUUCGUUCUAAACUAAAAUGGGAGCGUGUAUGGCAUUGUGUUCAAUCGCCAGCUGUGCAUCGUGUCUGUGUGGCUCUGCUCCCUGUCUGUUGUCAGGAUGCUGUCCCUCCACCUAUAACUCCACUGUGUCCCGGCUGGCCUUCUCCCUCCUGCUGCUGCUGGGGACCCUGGUCUCUGUCAUCAUGAUCCUACCUGGCAUGGAGACUCAGCUCAAGAAGAUACCAGGGUUCUGUGUGGGCGGAACCUCCAUACCCAUGCCAGGCAUCGAGAACAAGGUGAACUGUGAUGUCAUCGUGGGCUACAAGUCUGUGUAUCGCAUGUGCUUUGCCAUGGCCUGCUUCUUUUUCCUGUUCUCCAUCAUCAUGAUCCGUGUUCGCAGCAGCAAGGACCCCCGAGCUUCCCUACAGAACGGAUUCUGGUUCUUCAAGUUCCUCGUACUGGUGGGGAUAACUGUAGGAGCCUUCUUCAUUCCAGACGGGACAUUCAACACAGUGUGGUUUUACUUUGGCAUGGUGGGUUCCUUCUUCUUCAUCAUCAUCCAGCUGAUCCUGCUUGUGGACUUUGCUCACACCUGGAACCAGUCCUGGCUGGAGAACGCUGAGGAGGGAAAUGGCAAGUGCUGGUUCUCAGCUCUUCUGUCCUUCACGGUGCUACACUAUGUCCUGGCCUUCUCUGCUGUGGUGGUGUUCUAUGUCUAUUACACCACAGGAGACGACUGCACUGAACACAAGGUCUUCAUCAGCCUCAACUUCAUCUUCUGCAUCAUCGUCUCCAUAGUUGCCAUCCUACCCAAAGUUCAGGAGUCCCAGCCCAGCUCAGGCCUGCUCCAAGCGUCCUUCAUCUCCCUCUACACCAUGUAUGUCACAUGGUCCGCCAUGACCAACAACCCCAACCGUAAGUGUAACCCCAGCCUGCUGAGUCUGGUACACAACACCUCCACCCCUACACCUACACCUGCCCCAGGGCAAGGGGUCCAGUGGUGGGAUGCACAGGGCAUCAUAGGACUGGUCAUCUUCCUCUUCUGCACUCUCUACGCCAGCAUCCGUUCGUCCAACAACACCCAGGUGAACAGGCUGAUGCAGACAGAGGAGGGCCAGGGUCUGGCUGCAGAAGACCACGAGGCGGCCACGGGGGAGGACGGGGUCAGACGGGCCGUGGACAACGAGGAAGAGGGGGUCACCUACUCUUACGCCUUCUUCCACUUCAGCCUGUGCCUGGCCUCCCUCUACAUCAUGAUGACACUCACAAACUGGUACCAACCUGAUGCAGACUACCAGGCCAUGCAGAGCUGUAUGCCAGCUGUGUGGGUGAAGAUUGGCUCUAGCUGGAUAGGCCUGGCUCUCUACCUCUGGACCCUGGUAGCUCCUCUCAUCCUCUCUAACCGAGACUUCAACUAAAGACAUACAUUCCAUCCAGGGCUAAGUCCCAAAUGGCACCCCUGGUCCCAAGUAGAAAGAGGGACAUUCCAGCACCUGAGAAGUUGAGGAAACAGACCAAAGACAUGUCAUCAGUCCGAGCCAACAGGGAUUCCAGAACCUCCCAUCCCCUCUGGCUUCAUUCAUCACCCUGAUCACAUGACCACACUCCAACAGGAUUAUUCUUAUUUCCUUGUGACGCAGGAUUACCCAUGCAGCCACCCCACACGCUCUCUCGAUGAGGGAAUGUGAUUUCCCCAUCACAAGAUUGGCAUGAGAGGAUUGAACACAAGACCAACAUUAUAUUCAUUGAGGAGCAAAUGGGUUCAGCUGGGGUAGAGAAGGAGCACAGAGAGAUGGGUCUGUAGUUAGUCCAUGAAUUCAGCCUCAAAUCAAAUCACCGCAAUCAGAACGUUUGAGUUUACGCAGAGCAGAAUUACGCCCGGACACACACUGAAGUAAUGUACACCUAGUGGGAAAUAAAGUGAGUGCUAUGCCAUAUUAAUUUCAGCUGACUGCUUUAUGGUAGUCAAUGUUAGUUGAAUUAACAUGCUUUCUUUCAUUCAAUCACUUUGAGACCCUUCCUUUUGCUCUUUUACAGAAAAUAAUCUACUGUACAUAUCUGAGUAUUUUUCAAUCCUGUACACUAGUAGUUCUGAUCUUGGUGAGUGGGUGACCUUGUUAGUGUGAUGACCCUGGGUCUCUGUGACAGACCGUUCGAUAGUGGUGGAGUUCCCUUCACAGCAGGCAUUUAGACCUAGUCUACAUAAUGCUGUUAUAUAACGGCCUGUUUGGGGGAACCCAUCAUGCUAUGACUCUGUCUGGGGCCCCCACUGUGGUGCGGUAGAGGAGAGAAUACGGAAAAGAUUGGCUGCAUUAGCCGGUUUGGAUCAUGCUCUCACUGGGGAUGAGGACUGCCACUGUGCAUCUGGAUACCUCUGUAGGUUGAGGUGAACACACAGGUAGUGGGAAAAUGUAUGUUCUAGAGCAGGGCUCUCCAACCCUGUUCCUGGAGAGCUACCUUCCUGUAGGUUUUCACUCCAACCCUGUUCCUGGAGAGCUACCUUCCUGUAGGUUUUCACUCCAACCCUGUUCCUGGAGAGCUACCUUCCUGUAGGUUUUCACUCCAACCCUGUUCCUGGAGAGCUACCUUCCUGUAGGUUUUCGCUCCAACCCUGUUCCUGGAGAGCUACCUUCCUGUAGGUGUUCGCCUCAACCCUGUUCCUGUAGAACUACCUUCCUGUAGGUUUUCGCUCCAACCCUGUUCCUGGAGAGCUACCUUCCUGUAGGUUUUCACUCCAACCCUGUUCCUGUAGAGCUACCUUCCUGUAGGUUUUACCUCCAACCCUAAUCUAGCACACCUGAUUCUAAUUAUUAGCAGGUUGAUAAACUGAAUCAGGUUAGUUACAACUGGCAUUGGAGCGAAAACCUACAGGAGGGUAGCUCUCCAGGAACAGGGUUUGAGACUCCAUUUCUGGAGAGCUACUGGCCUUGCAGGUUUUUUUUUCCCAGCCCUGCUCUAUCAUGAAUCUAUUACUAUAGAUUAGAAUCAAGUGUGUAGUAGGGUCAGACCAGAUUCCUGCGGGUGGGAGGAUAGCUAAAGCACCCCAGGAGGAGGGUUGCUUGGCAACUCUGGUAUAGAAUAUAACCUGGCAACUCUCUGGCAUAGAAUAUAACCUGGCAACUCUCUGGUAUAGAAUGUAACCUGGCAACUCUGAUACAGACAAUAACAACCUGUGUGGAAAAACAAGCUAAAUUUAGAGCAGCUAGCUACUGAAGGUUUUAAUGAGAGGUCUCAGAGGUCUUCAAAAAAUAAAGUUCUCACCCAUAUACACACUACCCCAUACUGACAAAGUGAAAACAUGUUUUUAGACAUUUUUGCCCAUUUAUUGAAAAUUAAAUACAGAAAUACUUAAUUUAAAUAAGUAUCCAUACUUUGUAGAAGCCCCUUUGGUAGCAAUUACAGCUGUGAGUCUUGCUGGGUAUGUCUCCAAGAGCUUUCCACACCUGGAUUGUACAAUAUUUGUCCAUUAUUCUUUAAAAAUGUCUUCAAGCUCUGUCAAAUUGGUCUUUGAACAUUACUAGACAAACCUUUCAGGUCUUGCCAUAGAUUUUCAAGUAGAUUUAAGUCAAAACUUUGACUCAGCCACUCAGGAACAUUCACUGUCUUCUUGGUAAGCAACUCCGGUGUAGAUGUGGCCUUGUGUUUUAGGUUAUUGUCCCGCUGAAAGGUGAAUUCAUCUCCCAGUGUCUGGUGGAAAGCAGACUGAACCAGGUUUUCCUCUAGGAUUUUGUCUGUGUUUAGCACCAUUACAAUAUUUUUUUUAUCCUGAAAAACUUCCCAGUCCUUAACAAUUACAAGCAUACCCAUAACAUGAUGCAGCCACCACUAUGCAUAACACUUUGUAUUGAUGACAAAUAGUUAAUUGCUUUGCAGUAUUACUUUAGUGCCUUGUUGCAAACAGGAUCUAUGUUUUGGAAUAUUUUUAUUCUGUACAGGUUCACUCUGUCAAUUAGGUUAGUAUUGUGGAGUAACUACAAUGUUGUUGAUCCAUCCUCCCUUAUCUCCUAUCCUUGGCUCUGUAACUGUUUUAAAGUCACCAUUGGCCUUAUGGUGAAAUCCCUGAGCGGUUUCCUUCCUCUCCGGCAUUGAGUUAGGAAGAACGCCUGUAUCUUUGUAGUGACUGGGUGUAUUGAUUCCCCAUCCAAAGUGUAAUUAAUUACUUCACCAUACUCAAAGGGAUAUUCAAUUAUUCUUUGCAAGGCAUUGGAAAACUUCCCUGAUCUUUGUGGCUGAAUCUGUGUUUGAAAUUCACUUUUGACUGAGGGAACUUACAGAAAAUGUUGUGUGGGGUACAGAGAUGAGUUGGCCAUUAAGAAACCAUGUUAAACACUUAUGCACUUAUGCAACUUAUUAUGGGACUUGUUAAGCAGAUUUUGGCUUGCCAUAACAAAGGGAUUGAAUAUUUAUUGACUCGAGACAUGUCAGCUUUUCAUUUUGAAUUCAUUUGUAAAGAUUUCGAAAAACAUAAUUCCACUUUGACAUUAUGGUGUAUUGUGUGUAGUCCAGUGACAAAAAAUUCUAAAUGUAAUCAUUUUUCAAUUCAGGCUGUAACACAAUACUUGCUGAAGGCACUGUAAGAUAAUACUUUUGGUUUGGGUUUAUAUAUUUGAUUUAGACAAUGCAAUAAUAUAAUAUUGAACCUCUUCACAUUCUGAUGUAUGCUCAUCAUGUAAUUAGGGGUUCAAGCAUCAAAGCUGUGAGAAACCCUAAUGUAUUUGUUGGCAGUCAUUAUUAAUAUUACAUAGUCAUUAUUUAUUGAAUUAGGCUACAGAAAAGUUAUUACGCAACAUGUAUUACAUUGUCUAUUGUGUUACACUGUUAGUCAUUUUAGGUAUUAUCAACAGUAAAAAAAAAACUCAAACAUUUAACUGCAGCAUACUGUAAAUGAUGGUGCAUUGUGGGAAAUUGCUGUAUUUCAAUUGGUACUAUAAUUCCACCCCACAGUAUACAGUACCAUAUUGUAUCUUUGGAGCACCCAAAACCUUGACCACUAGUGGGUGCAUGGUAGUGUUGUUUCUGGCUCAUUAACAUAUUUUGAGGCUUGCACUGUAAGAGGAUAUUUGUUGCAGUCGUGAAUGAGAAUGCUGUAUCAAUUUAACGCCUAUGUGGUUAUAGUGCCCCAUCAAUUUAAAAUCUAUAGGGGACACAUUGGAGUGGGAGCAAGUCUUAAACCUUAAAUGGUUGAGUAUUUUGCCAUGUCUUUUUGGUCUGUUUUGCCUUGUGGUCGCUGCCAGUUUGGAAUUCCUUGUUAAGACCUCUAGUGCAAGUGAUAUAAAAUACCAAAUAUUUAUUAACAUGCUGUAGUGUGUAAACACUUUGCCAACCUGCUUGCACCAAUUCCUUGUAAUUAUAGGGAAAUACUGUGAAAUACAAACCCCUCCCCUCAAUAAAUGUAAUUCAUUCAUCCA